rnacentral:lncRNA from 1 species
GACGCGCUUCCUGGACAACGCCGGCCAGAGGCCCCGAACGCGAGGGCGAGCGCCGGUUUCGCGACCUCUCGGCGGAGCCUGGCCCUCCCACGAACUCAGCUCGGAAGACCCAGGCCCUGCGUCCCACUGGCUCCGGCCUCGCUCGGCGCCUCCCAGCUGAGGGACCGAGGAGGGUGCCCUGACUCGGGCCGCUCCACAGUGCGCUCAGCCGCCGCUGCCUUUGGAGGUGGCGUCUGGGCCACAGCGGAGGCUGCACUUGCCGCUGUUCACUCGCCCCCUGCGCCGCGACUUCUUCCUUUUUGGGUCAGUGGGACCCGGGCGACAGCCAGAUUCCUCAGAUGGUCCGUGCCUUGCAGCUGCGGAUCCUCCGUGCGUUGCCCAGCUCCCAGGACUUUCCUCCCCGUCCAGGCUGAGCGCCGCGGGAGCUCCAUCUUUGUGGCGCCCUGAGAGUCUCCCAGACUUCGCUGGAGCAGAGCCUCGGCCUCUUUGCCUUUCCUGGCCCUCCUAAGUUCUGAAAUGGCAGCAUUGUGCCAAGUAAUGGAAUGUAAUACGGAAUGCUCUUAAAAGACUUCGGGAUAUAGUGCCUGCAGGACCCGCAAAAAUGCAGGAAGGAUUUAAAAAGGCAAAUAUGCAGAUUCAGAAAGUUUUCUACCCAAACAGGAAAGCUUCCAGCCUGAUUUACACUCUGACUGCUGGACCACUGCAGCCAUCGGCACUACAGGAGACUAAGAAGCAAUUCGUGGGAAAUUCCUGUAAGGACGUUAUGGGUGGAGACACAUUCUAUGCUUGUGUAGGAGAAUCCUACCAACUUGGGUUUUUCGCACAAGGCCUAAAUCCACAAAAAAUUGGAGAAUAUAUUUGCAGAUAUAAUUUCAGCGAAUCCAUAAUCUACAGGGAGGUGCAUCAACUUCACCCUAAUGAAUCCCUACUGCGCCCAAAUGCUCUGCGGCUCUAACAUCUGCCUUCCACCCAGCCAGGAGUACUUCCCUCUCACCAGCUGCUGCUCACGCUGUCAACACUCCCCACCCAUAUGCUCUCAGCCCUCCGGGGUGCUGCCUUUGAUCUCUACCCCUUCCCAGGAGCUCUUCAGGACUACUAUGUCACCCACACCCCCAUAGCCCAACAUCUAAAGCACCAAACCCCCAAGAUUGUUAAGAGCCCCCCCUUUUCUUAUUGAUUUGAACAUACAUACUGUGUUCUGUUUAACAGUUAGAAGGAGUUGAAAUUUGUUGCUGAUCAGUUUGUUACCUGGUGAGUACUUCCCCACUGUGUGAGAUGCAGGCUACACUGCUCCUGCCAGGACAAAGCAUCCUGGUCCACGGUGGAUAGACAUGAUGAGUCCCAUUCCCCAAAGACAGGUCUUCCUCUGUCAUCAAGUGUUGGGGUGCAUGGGGUUUUAGCCAAAACAUGCUCUUUCAAAAAAGUCCAAAUAUCUUUGAUGUAUCAAUACAAUCUGAUAUCC